ACACAUGCAAGUCGAGCGGAUGAAGGGAGCUUGCUCCUGGAUUCAGCGGCGGACGGGUGAGUAAUGCCUAGGAAUCUGCCUGGUAGUGGGGGAUAACGUCCGGAAACGGGCGCUAAUACCGCAUACGUCCUGAGGGAGAAAGUGGGGGAUCUUCGGACCUCACGCUAUCAGAUGAGCCUAGGUCGGAUUAGCUAGUUGGUGGGGUAAAGGCCUACCAAGGCGACGAUCCGUAACUGGUCUGAGAGGAUGAUCAGUCACACUGGAACUGAGACACGGUCCAGACUCCUACGGGAGGCAGCAGUGGGGAAUAUUGGACAAUGGGCGAAAGCCUGAUCCAGCCAUGCCGCGUGUGUGAAGAAGGUCUUCGGAUUGUAAAGCACUUUAGGUUGGGAGGAAGGGCAGUAAGUUAAUACCUUGCUGUUUUGACGUUACCAACAGAAUAAGCACCGGCUAACUUCGUGCCAGCAGCCGCGGUAAUACGAAGGGUGCAAGCGUUAAUCGGAAUUACUGGGCGUAAAGCGCGCGUAGGUGGUUCAGCAAGUUGGAUGUGAAAUCCCCGGGCUCAACCUGGGAACUGCAUCCAAAACUACUGAGCUAGGGUACGGUAGGGGGUGGUGGAAUUUCCUGUGUAGCGGUGAAAUGCGUAGAUAUAGGAAGGAACACCGGUGGCGAAGGCGACCACCUGGACUGAUACUGACACUGAGGUGCGAAAGCGUGGGGAGCAAACAGGAUUAGAUACCCUGGUAGUCCACGCCGUAAACGAUGUCGACUAGCCGUUGGGAUCCUUGAGAUCUUAGUGGCGCAGCUAACGCGAUAAGUCGACCGCCUGGG
rnacentral:rRNA from 1 species